rnacentral:rRNA from 1 species
CCUACGGGAGGCAGCAGUGAGGAAUAUUGGUCAAUGGACGAGAGUCUGAACCAGCCAAGUAGCGUGAAGGAUGACUGCCCUAUGUGUUGUAAACUUCUUUUAUAAAGGAAUAAAACGAGGCACGUGUGCCUUUUUGCAUGUACUUUAUGAAUAAGGAUCGGCUAACUCCGUGCCAGCAGCCGCGGUAAUACGGAGGAUCCGAGCGUUAUCCGGAUUUAUUGGGUUUAAAGGGAGCGUAGAUGGGUUGUUAAGUCAGUUGUGAAAGUUUGCGGCUCAACCGUAAAAUUGCAAUUGAUACUGGCAGUCGUGAGUACAGUUGAGGUAGGCGGAAUUCGUGGUGUAGCGGUGAAAUGCUUAGAUAUCACGAAGAACCCCGAUUGCGAAGGCAGCUUACUAAACUGUGACUGACAUUGUUGCUCGAAAGUGUGGGUAUCAAACAGGAUUAGAUACCCCUGUAGUC